rnacentral:rRNA from 1 species
AUUGAACGCUGGCGGCAGGCCUAACACAUGCAAGUCGAGCGGUUGAGGUAGCUUGCUACCGAUACAGCGGCGGACGGGUGAGUAAUACAUGGGAAUCUGCCUGGUAGUGGGGGACAACGUUUCGAAAGGAACGCUAAUACCGCAUACGCCCUACGGGGGAAAGGGGGGGAUCUUCGGACCUCUCGCUAUCAGAUGAGCCCAUGUCAGAUUAGCUUGUUGGUGAGGUAAAGGCUAACCAAGGCGACGAUCUGUAACUGGUCUGAGAGGAUGAUCAGUCACACUGGAACUGAGACACGGGCCAGACUCCUGCGGGAGGCAGCAGUGGGGAAUAUUGGACAAUGGGCGCAAGCCUGAUCCAGCCAUGCCGCGGGUGUGAAGAAGGCCUUAGGGUUGUAAAGCACUUUCAGUGGGGAGAAAGGCCUUUUACUUAAUACGUAAGAGGAUUGAUGUUACCCACAGAAGAAGCACCGGCUAACUCCGUGCCAGCCGCCGCGGUAA